rnacentral:rRNA from 1 species
UACAGAGGUCCCAAGCGUUACUGAGAUUCACUGGGGUUAAAGAGUGCGUAGGUGGCGUGUCAAGUUAGGUGUGAAAUCCCCGAGCUCAACUCGGGAAAUGCUUCUGAUACUGGCAUGCUUGAGGCCGGAAGAGGUUAGUGGAACGGACGGUGUAGCGGUGAAAUGCGUAGAUAUCGUCUGGAACGCCAGUGGUGAAGGCGGGUAACUGGGCCGGUUCUGACACUGAGGAGCGAAAGCGUGGGUAGCAAACGGG